GAUGAACGCUGGCGGCGUGCCUAAUACAUGCAAGUCGAGCGAACAGAUGAGAAGCUUGCUUCUCUGAUGUUAGCGGCGGACGGGUGAGUAACACGUGGGUAACCUACCUAUAAGACUGGGAUAACUCCGGGAAACCGGGGCUAAUACCGGAUAAUAUUUUGAACCGCAUGGUUCAAUAGUGAAAGACGGUUUCGGCGGUCACUUAUAGAUGGACCCGCGCCGUAUUAGCUAGUUGGUAAGGUAACGGCUUACCAAGGCGACGAUACGUAGCCGACCUGAGAGGGUGAUCGGCCACACUGGAACUGAGACACGGUCCAGACUCCUACGGGAGGCAGCAGUAGGGAAUCUUCCGCAAUGGGCGAAAGCCUGACGGAGCAACGCCGCGUGAGUGAUGAAGGUCUUCGGAUCGUAAAACUCUGUUGUUAGGGAAGAACAAAUUUGUUAAUAACUGAACAAGUCUUGACGGUACCUAACCAGAAAGCCACGGCUAACUACGUGCCAGCCGCCGCGGUAA
rnacentral:rRNA from 1 species